UCACAAAGAAUCUUUUUUUUUUUUUUUUUUGGUGUGAAUUUGUGUAGAAUGAUUCUAUUAACUUUAUUACAGAAAGAAGAACAAGAAAAAGCAACAGAAUGGAUACACACCAUGAUAAUGAAGUUACAGACAGCACUGCUGUAAUCAAGGCAAAUCGCUCAUCGAAGACUUCAAAAGAACGACAGCUUAAUGACUCUGGAGAUGAAGUGACCUACAGCUCUUUAGUGAUCCAACACAAAUAGGUGAAUUAACUAGACCUGCACUGUUCUCUAGGUGUCAUGCACUCAAGAUCACCCUGACGAAACAGUAAGUGUAAAGCAAUUUGUCUCUGAAGUUGAUGCUGAGAUUGACUUGAUGACACUGGCAGUUUUAGAUUUGAAAGAAACAAAAAUAUUUCAAUAAAAUCCUUCCUGUAUUCAGUUUAUGUAUAAAAAUAGUAGCUGUUGUAAGAGGGGAAAAUGGAUUUUGGUGAGACACCAUGGUUGGUUAAUGUGUUACUUUAUUUAUCACUUGUGUUACUUCAUCCGUGUCCUUCAGGUGACCUUUAACUUCCUAUCUGUUCAUAGCAGAUAUGACUGAAAAGAGAGAUCAAGAUUCACCAAGGAGCCUUAUCUUUUUUUUUUUUUUUUUCUCUCUAUUCCC